GGGGGCGCUCCGGUUUCGACGGGGGUGUCUAGCUCUUGGUGGCGUGCAUGAGGUCCUGCAUCCUCACGAAACCUGCAGGACGUACAAAUGCGAACGACAACGCAUACGCGCUCGCGGCCUAAGAAACCGUAACGCCGUCCGAGGGUGAAGCCCGGCGAUGCUUCCCCGAGGGCGUGACCGAAUCGCCUGGCCAAUCCCCUCACCGCGCGGGGUGCGGCGAGAUGCAGUGCGGAGUAGGUGGUCGGGAAGGUUGUCGAUGGCCGUCCCGCUCGCCGAAUCAACACAUCGACUACGCACGUAGAGGCCGGAGUGAAGCGCUUUCGGACGCGGGUUCGACUCCCGCCGCCUCCACCA
rnacentral:tmRNA from 1 species